rnacentral:rRNA from 1 species
AGCGAACGCUGGCGGCAGGCUUAACACAUGCAAGUCGAACGCCCGGGCAACCGGGAGUGGCAGACGGGUGAGUAACGCGUGGGAACGUACCCUUUGGCUCGGAAUAACCCAGGGAAACUUGGGCUAAUACCGGAUAAGCCCCGAGAGGGGGAAAGAUUGAUUUGCCGAAGGAUCGGCCCGCGUCCGAUUAGCUAGUUGGUGUGGUAAUGGCGCACCAAGGCGACGAUCGGUAGCUGGUCUGAGAGGAUGAUCAGCCACACUGGGACUGAGACACGGCCCAGACUCCUACGGGAGGCAGCAGUGGGGAAUAUUGGACAAUGGGGGCAACCCUGAUCCAGCCAUGCCGCGUGAGUGAUGAAGGCCUUAGGGUUGUAAAGCUCUUUCGGCGGGGACGAUAAUGACGGUACCCGCAGAAGAAGCCCCGGCUAACUUCGUGCCAGCAGCCGCCGUAAGAC